rnacentral:rRNA from 1 species
AUUGAAUGCUAGCGGCAUGCUUUAACACAUGCAAGUCGAACGGCAGCGAGGGGAGCUUGCUCCCUGACGGCGAGUGGCGGACGGGUGAGUAACACGUAGGAAUCUACCUUAAUUAUAAUAGUUAGUGGGGGAUAACCCGGGGAAACUCGGGCUAAUACCGCAUAAUCUCUUCAAAGCAAAGCGGGGGAUCUUCGGACCUCGUGCUAUGAGAUGAGCCUGCGUCGGAUUAGCUAGUUGGUAGGGUAAUGGCCUACCAAGGCGACGAUCCGUAGCUGGUCUGAGAGGACGAUCAGCCACACUGGGACUGAGACACGGCCCAGACUCCUACGGGAGGCAGCAGUGGGGAAUAUUGGACAAUGGGGGAAACCCUGAUCCAGCAAUGCCGCGUGUGUGAAGAAGGCCUUCGGGUUGUAAAGCACUUUCAGUGGGGAAGAAAUUCUCAAGGCUAAUACCCUUUUGAGCGUUGACGUUACCCAC